rnacentral:lncRNA from 1 species
AAAACACCCGGAAAACACCCGGAAAUACACCCAGAAACACCCCGGAAACACCCGGAAAUACACCCAGAAACACCCCGAAAACACCCGGAAAUACACCCAGAAACAGCCCAAAAACACCUGGAAAUACACCCAGAAACACCCGGAAAUACACCCAGAAAUACACCCAGAAACAGCCCGAAAACACCCGGAAAUACACCCAGAAACAGCCCGGAAACACCCGGAAAUACACCCAGAAACACCCCGGAAACACCCGGAAAUACACCCAGAAACAGCCCGGAAACACCCGGAAAUACACCCAGAAACAACCCGGAAACACCCGGAGAUACACCCAGAAACAGCCCGAAAACACCCGGAAAUACACCCGGAAACAGCCCGAAAACACCCGGAAAUACACCCAGAAACACCCCGAAAACACCCGGAAAUACACCCGGAAACAGCCCGAAAACACCCGGAAAUACACCCAGAAAUACCCAAAAAUACCCCAAAAUUGCUGGUCUGUACUGGAGUGUUACUGGUUUAUACUGGAGUGUUACUGGGAUUUAUUAACCCUUACUGGUCUGUACUGGGAGCCGUUACUGGUCUGUACUGGGAGCUGUUACUGGUCUGUACUGGGAGCCGUUACUGGUCUGUACUGGGAGCUGUUACUGGUCUGUACUGGUCUGUACUGGGAGCUGUUACUGGUCUGUACUGGUCUGUACUGGGAGCUGUUACUGGUCUGUACUGGGAGCUGUUACUGGGAUUUAUUAACCCUUACUGGUCUGUACUGGGAGCUGUUACUGGUCUGUACUGGGAGCCGUUACUGGUCUGUACUGGGAGCUGUUACUGGUCUGUACUGGGGGCUGUUACUGGGAGUUAUUAACCCUUACUGGUCUGUACUGGGAGCCGUUACUGGUCUAUACUGGUCUAUACUGGUCUGUACUGGUCUGAACUGGGAGCCGUUACUGGUCUAUACUGGUCUAUACUGGUCUGUACUGGUCUGUACUGGGAGCUGUUACUGGUCUAUACUGGGAGCUGUUACUGGUCUGUACUGGUCUAUACUGGUCUAUACUGGUCUAUACUGGUCUGUACUGGUGUCAAUAAAGGUGUCAAUGGAGCAGUGGCUGUGUGGGGGAAGGGUACUGGGACAUACUGGGGCAUACUGGGACAUACUGGGACAUACUGGGGUGUACUGGGGCAUACUGGGACAUACUGGGGUGUACUGGGACAUACUGGGACAUACUGGGGUGUACUGGGACAUACUGGGACAUACUGGGACAUACUGGGGCAUACUGGGACAUACUGGGACAUACUGGGGUGUACUGGGACAUACUGGGACAUACUGG